rnacentral:rRNA from 1 species
CCCUUAGAUGUUCUGGGCCGCACGCGCGCUACACUGACGAUGGCAACGAGUUUUUCCUUCGCCGAAAGGUGUGGAUAAUCUUUUGAAACAUCGUCGUGCUGGGGAUAGAUCAUUGCAAUUUUUCAUCUUCAACGAGGAAUGCCUAGUAAACGCAAGUCAUCAGCUUGCAUUGAUUACGUCCCUGCCCUUUGUACACACCGCCCGUCGCUCCUACCGAUUGAAUGAUCCGAUGAAUAUCAUGGAUUGAGGAUGCAAGCAGGUUCGCCUGUCUUCAUCUUCGAGAAGUGAAGUAAAUCUUAUCAUUUAGAGGAAGGAGAAGUCGUAACA